GGGGCUUUGCCGCCGUCAAAGGCCGGCUCCCCUCAAAUGCGUCGGUUGGGCCUCUGGGUCAAACUCGACUGGGCGUUGUACCAUCCUCGCUCCGGAGAGAACCCGCGCACCCCUUCCUCGACCCUGCCCCUGCCGCGGGCGGGUCAAUCGACCUUUUGAAAUCUGACCUCAAAUCAGGCAGGACUACCCGCUGAACUUAA
rnacentral:misc_RNA from 1 species